UCUUGUUUAAAGGUCAGUAAUGGCGCAGACCACGUCACAGUGGAGCAUUCAGUGACUUUAUGAGGAGGCUGACCACACAAGUCUGAAUUGUCCAUCAGAGUUCAGUCAGGGUAAUUGAAUAUUAGCCGUACAACCCCUCAACCUCCUGAACUCAAGGCUUAUAGUGUAGAAAGGAAUCGAGCAGGGAAGAGCAGGGUGGACAGAUGAGGUAAUAUGACAUGACCGAAAACAUGAUGCAAGGGCAGAGUCAUUGGCCCAUGCAGCGUCCUUCCGAAUGCUCUCAAACAUUGUAAAGUUGUUGUUUUUUUGGAGAUGACAAAUUUGCAACUUCAGCAGGCGGUAAAUGGUGCCUAUUCUGUAACAGAAGCACUUUAGGA